GCUUGCUCAUAAUUUCUCCCUUCUAGAGAAUCCCCUCAUAAAGGAGUCCUUUCAGAGCCCCAUCGAAUAUUUGAAGACGUCUUUCCUAUCCGUGAUAAACGUCUUCUUCUCCAGGCCAAUCAUCCCCAGUUCUCUCAGCGGAUGCUCAUCAGAUACAGUCUCAGGUCUCUUGACCAUUUCAGGGCUCCCCAUCUUGAUGGGGUUCAGCUUGUCAAGGCUGGUCUGAAACGUGCUGCCAAGAAUGGUGACAACCUGAGCCUUAUCUUCCCUUAAACAGCCCUCAUGAAAUGGCUUUUCUUGCUCAAAUAAAAGAUAUCUGGAACAGUAGCAAGAGCCAGGGCAGAUUGCCUGUUGGACAUAAUGUUGGACUUUGGUUUCUAAACCAUUCUCCUCUCUGUUUCCAUUUUAUGGGUCAAAUCCAUCACAGCUCUGUUCCAGUGUUGGAGAAGAGGAUUUGGGAAGGCAUAAGGGUCUAAAACGUAGAGAGAUUAAGGAUGGAAAGCCUGAAAAAUCCAAACAGCUCCCCUUUACAUAUGUAUGAAGAACAUAUUGCUAACAGGGCGAUUCUAACAAAGUUUGGGGCGUUUAUCUGGAGGCUUCAGCGAAGAUAAUCCAGACUUUUUCAUUAAAAGAGAAAAUGGGAUCUGGUCCAAUUUACUUAGUAUGAGGGGCUGCCGUUUCACACUUUUCUGCAGAUACCACCCAGGGUUUCUGGGAUAGAUAACCUGCACAACACUGAUAUGAAACGAGAACUGUAGGAAGGCGAUUCUCCUACAGAUUUUGUUGAUCUGACAUUUUCUUUCAAACCUUUUAGAAUAAUGUUAUCUGGCCACAAAGUUGACUACAUGACAUGACAUUGAAUUUUCUCCUUUGCCCCUCUGACACAAAAAAACAACAACAUGAAGACAGAUAAUUAUCAGAAGCUCUCUAUUACCUGACAGACAGGAUGGGCAGCUUUGUCCAUUGCUUCUAGCCACCUGAAACGGAACAGAAUGAGAGUAGCUUUUCUUAAAAAGUGUGAAAUGUAGUUUUCCACUAAAGUUCUACUCCAAAUUUUAUGCUUCUUAUAAUUCUGUUCCGUCUUCUAUUUCUGAUCCCCUAAACUAGAAUAACACAGACCAAAAAAAAAAAAUCAGGAAUUGGGAAUGGAGGCGGAGAGAAUGACAGAGACAGAGACACAGAGGGAAACAAAGGCAGAGAGGCAGAAAUAAGGAGAAGACAGAUAAGACAGAAGAGAGACAGAAAGUGACACAGAUAGAGAAGGCAAGAGAAAGACAGAGACAAAGAAAAGAAAGAGACACACACAUUGAGAGAGAGAGAGAGAGAGAGAGAGAGAGAGAGAGAGAGAGAGAGAGAGAGAGAGAGAGACCAGUGAAUGAGUAAUGAAUUGGUUACCUUUUCAUCUCUUGGUUUGAGGUGGCACAGAGGCAAAAAGUCCUUGUUCCAGAUUGGGGCACACAUUUAAACACAAAUGGUUUUCCCAAGCUGCUGUCUAUUCCAACUUCUGCACCUUCUAACUUCAUUACAUCCAGUGGUCGAUGUUUUCCUUCAUCCUGUAAUCAACACAGCAAAAUCUAAGCAGUAGGAUUUGCUGCCAUUUCAGUUGUUUCUGACUCUUCACGAUACCAUUUGGGGUCUUCUUGGCAAAGAUAUUGGAAUAAUUUAUUAUUGCCUUCUCCAGCUCAUUUGAUGGAAAAGAAAACGGAGGCAAACAAGAUUAAAUGAUUUGCCUAGAGUCACACUGCCAGUGAGACGGAGGUCUGAUUUGAACUUAGUUCUUCCUUACUUCACAAUCUAUGUAUUGCACCACCUUGCUCUAAAGAUAGCUACACCAAAAGGGACAGUACCUCCUCACCCUUGGGGCAGAGCCUAAUUUUAACACAAAAGUCAAGAAGGAGGCUGGAAAAAUAGCAAACAAAGAACACUAAAGAAUCUGACCAUUAAAAUGAUUAUGGUGACAAGGAAAAUAAAAAUAAGCAGACAACAAAGUCA
ensembl:lncRNA